GACGAACGCUGGCGGCGUGCCUAAUACAUGCAAGUCGAACGCACAGUUUAUACCGUAGCUUGCUACACCAUAGACUGUGAGUUGCGAACGGGUGAGUAACGCGUAGGUAACCUGCCUGGUAGCGCUUGAUAACUAUUUGAAACGAUAGCUAAUACCUCAUAAUAUUAAUUAUUGCAUGAUAAUUAAUUGAAAUGUGCAAUUUCACCACUACCAGCUGGCCCUGCGUUGUAUUAGCUAGUAGGUGAGGUAACGGCUCCCCUAAGCGAAGAUACAUAUCCGACCCGGAGAGGGGGUAGGCCAAAACGGGACGGAGAAAAGGCCCAGAAUCCCAAGGGAGGGAGCAGGAGGGAAUAUUCGGCAAUGGACGAAAGUCUGAACGAGCAAAGCCGCGGGAGUGAAGAAGGGUUUCGGAUCGGAAAGCUCUGUUGUAAGAGAAGAACGGGUGUGAGAGUGGAAAGUGCACACUGUGACGGUAUCUUACCAGAAAGGGACGGCUAACUACGUG
rnacentral:rRNA from 1 species